GGUGAACGCUAGCGGCAGGCCUAAUACAUGCAAGCCGAACGGGAUCCUUCGGAGAGCUUGCUCGAAGGAGGUGAGAGUGGCGCACGGGUGCGUAACGCGUGAGCAACCUGCCCAUAUCAGGGGGAUAGCCCGGAGAAAUCCGGAUUAACACCGCAUAAUAUUACACGUUGGCAUCAACGCGUAAUUAAAUAUUUAAGGAUAUGGAUGGGCUCGCGUGACAUUAGCUGGUUGGUAGGGUAACGGCCUACCAAGGCUACGAUGUCUAGGGGCUCUGAGAGGAGAAUCCCCCACACUGGUACUGAGACACGGACCAGACUCCUACGGGAGGCAGCAGUAAGGAAUAUUGGUCAAUGGGCGGAAGCCUGAACCAGCCAUGCCGCGUGCAGGAUGACUGCCCUAUGGGUUGUAAACUGCUUUUGUACGGGAACAACCGCAGGUACGAGUACCUGCCUGAGUGUACCGUAAGAAUAAGGAUCGGCUAACUCCGUGCC
rnacentral:rRNA from 1 species